GAGAACCCAGGGAUGCCGUGCCAGGUUCGCAGUGUGCUGCAACAGAUGUGGAAAUUUUUCCUCCUUUCUGUUACCCUGAAAAUGGAAGGCACUGCAGGACAAAGCAUUGAGCAGCCAAGUGAGUUGACAGCUGUGGAAGGAGACUUUAUCCAGGUCAACUGCACUUACCAGACAUCUAGGUUCAAUGGGCUGUCCUGGUACCAGCAAUACAAUGGCGGAACACCUGUAUUUCUCUUUUACCAUGUUCUGGAUGGUUUGGAAGGGAAAGGCCGUUUUUCUUCAUUCCUUAAACUCUCUGCUAGCUACAGUUACCUCCUUCUGAAGGAGCUCCAGAUGAAAGACUCUGCCUCUUACCUCUGUGCUGUGAGAGACACAGUGACUAUGACACCUCUUCAGCUGCAAUAA